CUUCACCGAGCCGAGCCACAGUGGCUUCUCCUCAGGCCGCUCCUGACCGUAGGUGGCGAGCAGCGCCUGCGCCUC
rfam:Streptomyces autolyticus strain CGMCC0516, complete genome.